UACAGAGGGGGCUAGCGUUAUGCGGAAUUAUUGGGCGUAAAGGGCGCGUAGGCGGCCAUGCGUGUCUUCCGUGAAAUCCCUCGGCUUAACCGAGGACGUGCGGAAGAAACUGCAAGGCUCGAGUCCGGGAGAGGGGGGUGGAAUUCCCAGUGUAGCGGUGAAAUGCGUAGAUAUUGGGAGGAACACCGGUGGCGAAGGCGGCCCCCUGGACCGGUACUGACGCUGAGGCGCGAAAGCGUGGGUAGCAAACGGG
rnacentral:rRNA from 1 species